UAGAUACCCUGGUAGUCCACGCCCUAAACGAUGCACACUAGUUGUUGCUAUGCUAGACAUAGCAGUAAUGCAGUUAACACAUUAAGUGUGCCGCCUGGGGAGUACGGUCGCAAGAUUAAAACUCAAAGGAAUAGACGGGGACCCGCACAAGCGGUGGAGCAUGUGGUUUAAUUCGACGAUACGCGGAGAACCUUACCUGGCCUUGACAUAGUAAGAACCUAAUAGAGAUAUAAGGGUGCUAGUUUACUAGAGCUUGCAUACAGGUGCUGCACGGCUGUCGUCAGCUCGUGUCGUGAGAUGUUGGGUUAAGUCCCGCAACGAGCGCAACCCUCGUGUCUAGUUACUAACAGUUCGGCUGAGGACUCUAGACAGACUGCCUGGGUAACCAGGAGGAAGGUGAGGACGACGUCAAGUCAUCAUGGCCCUUACGGCCAGGGCUACACACGUGCUACAAUGGGGUAUACAGAGAGCCGCAAUACCGCGAGGUGGAGCAAAUCUUCAAAAUAUCUCCCAGUUCGGAUAGCAGUCUGCAACUCGACUGCUUGAAGUUGGAAUCGCUAGUAAUCGUGAAUCAGCAAUGUCACGGUGAAUACGUUCCCGGGUCUUGUACUCACCGCCCGUCACACCAUGGGAGUUGAAUUCAUUCGAAGCGGGGAUGCUAAAGUAGCUACCUUCCACAGUGGAUUUAGUAACUAGGGUGAAGUCGUAACAAGGUA
rnacentral:rRNA from 1 species